rnacentral:misc_RNA from 1 species
UCCACAAAUGUGAGAGCACCACUCGUUUUAAUCUUUAAAGGUAUUCCUCAUCGAUCAGUAUGCUGGAGAUAUGAGCGAUUUCUGGCCAGUAUUCCCCCUUGUCAAAUUCUAGGAGUGGUUUGAGGAAUGGACAGUAGGAAAUAUGUAAUUUAGAGAGGGAAGAGGGCAUCACUUUUGCUGGAAGGGAUUGGAGAUUAGCACAACGCGUGAUGGUCAGCUCAUAGAGGGAGGAAAGCAGUGCUGAUUCGGAGAGUGAUUGGAGAUUAGGACAAUCCUCGAUGUUCAGCUCGAAGAGGGAGGAGGGCAAGGAAAGAGACUGGAGUUGAUGGCAGGAGAAGAUGCCUAGUCUUUG